rnacentral:ncRNA from 15 species
UAUUCUCAUGUGGAAGCUGUUUUGAGUACAACCCUAGUACAACCCAUUUUCCCAUGACCUUAUGUACUUCGUACAUUACUGCUAGUCCCCAUGAAUAUUGUACA